rnacentral:misc_RNA from 1 species
GGAAGACACCGAAAGAAACCAAGAGUUUGGCAUCUAUAUGCAAUGAAGUAUUGGGGAUUUCUCUUUCAAAGGAACUUCAAUGUAGCGAUUGGUCAUGUCGUCCUCUUACAGAAGAGCAAAAAACAUAUGCUGCAAUUGAUGCGCACUGCUUGCUCGAAAUAUUCAAGGUCUUCCAGGCAAAUGUUGUUAAAGAAGGGAAAUCUUAUGGCAAUGCAACAGAAUUGCAUUCUUCCAAUAUUAAUCUUGGGCUGAAAGAAAUUCUUGAAAAGCAUGAUAUUGGUGAUGCAGUCAUUAGGACCAACUUUUCUGAGGCUUUGAAUAUAGUCCAAGCUACUGUAACUUCAGAAGAUUCUCACAGAGUAGCCAAGGGGGGGAUUUCCAUGGCAUCAACCAGAAGUACUAUGCCUAUGGAUGAACUUCUCUUGAAUAUAGUAAGAAAAUAUGGUGAAAAAAUCUUGUUGAAAGAAUCUGACAGAAAGCCAAAAUCCUCCAAAAAGAAAGGGAAGAAACGAUCCUCAGUUGCAGUUUGCAGGGAAAAACAAUUAGAUGACAUAGGUGACUGGCAAGGACUCCCACCCUGGGAUUUGUCCUUAGGUGGUGAUGGAUGCCCCAAGUUCCUAUGUGAUGUUAUGGUUGAAGGCUUGGCAAAACAUUUACGGUGUGUUGGGAUAGAUGCUGCAAUUCCAUAUUCGAAAAAGCCAGAAUCCAGAGAAUUAAUAGAUCAGGCAUACAAAGAGCAGAGAGUGCUUCUGACACGAGAUGCCAAGUUAUUGAGACACCAAUACUUGAUAAAGAACCAAAUAUACAGAGUGAAGAGUCUUCUUAAAAAUGAACAACUUCUUGAGGUAAUCGACACUUUCCAGUUAAAAAUUACUGAGGAUCAACUGAUGUCAAGGUGCAGUAAGUGCAAUGGGAGGUUUAUUCAAAAGCCACUAACAACCGAAGAGGCUGUUGAAGCUGCAAAGGGCUUUCAGAAAAUUCCUGACUGCUUGUUUAACAAAAAAUUGGAGUUCUGGCAGUGCAUGGAUUGCAACCAACUGUACUGGGAGGGAACCCAAUACCAGAAUGCAGUUCAGAAGUUCAUUGACAUCUGCAAAUUGAACGAGUAAAGUUGAAGUUGACGGUCGAUGCUUCUGCGGAUAAAAAAGGUAUUUUUGUACAACAUAUGUAUGAGCAAUUGUCCUUGUCUAUUCUACAUAUAGUUCUUGAUUCAAGCAUUAUUGUUCAAUGUAAUUGUUCCUCUGAUUUUAAAGAAUUUUGUGAGAGGCAAGAAGAUAAAGGGAUAGAAGACCUGAUAUUCUGUUUUAAGUUUUGAGCCUUUCUGGCUCUUGUUUUGUCCU